rnacentral:rRNA from 1 species
UACGUAGGGGGCGAGCGUUGUCCGGAAUCAUUGGGCGUAAAGCGCGUGUAGGCGGCUCGAUAAGUCCGGUGUGAAACCUUGGGGCUCAACCCCAAGCCUGCACUGGAUACUGCCGAGCUAGAGUCCGGGAGGGGAGAGCGGAAUUCCUAGUGUAGCGGUGAAAUGCGCAGAUAUUAGGAAGAACACCGGUGGCGAAGGCGGCUCUCUGGAACGGUACUGACGCUGAGACGCGAAAGCGUGGGGAGCGGACAGG